rnacentral:rRNA from 1 species
GACGAACGCUGGCGGCGUGCUUAACACAUGCAAGUCGAACGGAAAGGCCCUGCUUUUGUGGGGUGCUCGAGUGGCGAACGGGUGAGUAACACGUGAGUAACCUGCCCUUGACUUUGGGAUGGCUUCAGGAAACUGGGGCUAAUACCGGAUAGGAGCUCCUGCUGCAUGGUGGGGGUUGGAAAGUUUCGGCAGUUGGGGAUGGACUCGCGGCUUAUCAGCUUGUUGGUGGGGUAGUGGCUUACCAAGGCUUUGACGGGUAGCCGGCCUGAGAGGGUGACCGGCCACAUUGGGACUGAGAUACGGCCCAGACUCCUACGGGAGGCAGCAGUGGGGAAUAUUGCACAAUGGGCGGAAGCCUGAUGCAGCAACGCCGCGUGCGGGAUGACGGCCUUCGGGUUGUAAACCGCUUUCGCCUGUGACGAAGCGUGAGUGACGGUAAUGGGUAAAGAAGCACCGGCUAACUACGUG